rnacentral:tRNA from 1 species
CGAUGAAAUAGCUCAGUUGGUAGAGCACGACCUUGCCAAGGUCGGGGUCGCGAGUUCGAGUCUCGUUUCCCGC